CAGCAGCCGCGGGAAUACAGAGGAUGCAAGCGUUAUCCGGAAUAAUUGGGCGUAAAGCGUCUGUAGGUGGUUUACCAAGUCUGUUGUUAAAAAUCAGGGCUCAACCCUGAUCCGGCAACAGAAACUAGUAGACUUGAGUACGGUAGGGGCAGAGGGAAUUCUCGGUGUAGUGGUGAAAUACGUAGAUAUCGAGAAGAACACCAAUAGCGAAAGCACUCUGCUGGGCCGAAACUGACAUUGAGAGACGAAAGCUAGGGGAGCAAAAGGGAUUAGAUACCCCGGUAGUCCCUGUCUCUUAUAC
rnacentral:rRNA from 1 species